GGACCCAUAGCUCAGCUGGAUAGAGCGCUGCCCUCCGAAGGCAGAGGUCACAGGUUCGAAUCCUGUUGGGUCCGCCA
rnacentral:tRNA from 1 species